UACGAAGGGGGCGAGCGUUGUUCGGAUUUACUGGGCGUAAAGGGCGCGUAGGCGGCCUUGUCAGUCAGGCGUGAAAGCCCCGGGCUCAACCUGGGAACGGCGCUUGGGACGGCGAGGCUGGAGUUCGGGAGAGGAGAGUGGAAUUCCCAGUGUAGAGGUGAAAUUCGUAGAUAUUGGGAAGAACACCGGUGGCGAAGGCGGCUCUCUGGACCGACACUGACGCUGAGACGCGAAAGCGUGGGGAGCAAACAGG
rnacentral:rRNA from 1 species